rnacentral:lncRNA from 1 species
AGCAGGGGGAGCCAUCUCCCUGUGUGUGGGACACUGCCUGCUGGGUGUUCCGUUCCAGCCCCUCUAGAAUGCAUGCUUGAAUGGCCAGUGAGGCUGGGGGAGGGACCGAGAGGGAGCCCUCACCCCCAGCAGCACAGAGCAGGAGCUGGACGGUGGGGCUGGGGGUGAGGCCAGCUGAGAGGGGUCAGGUCCUGCCACGGGAGGGGGACUUUUAAAGUUCCUCCAUGGCCCUGGAACCCUGGAGCCUCAGGAGUGGCAGGGGAGCUUCUCCGGACCUGCCUCUUCUGGACAUUUCGUAUAAAUGGAAUCGUGUAAUAUGUGGCCUUUCGAGCUGGGCUUCCUUCACUCAACGUCAUGUUUCCAAGAUCCAUCCCCAUUGAAGCUGGUGUCGGAGCCUCACUGCUUUCUGCGGCUGGGCCAGUCUCCUUCGCAAGAGGAAGCCGCUGUGUUGGGGAC